CCAAGGUGCGCACAUAAUAUGUUUUAGUGUCUCAUUGGUUACCUUUCUAAGAGUCCCACGAGAAAUUUAGAGUUCAGUGUGACAUUCUAAUAAGACACUAUUUGGUUCCUGAUCAUGUCCAAAGUCUCAUUAGUUAAUCUGGUGUUAGGAUACUUAUGAGACUGUCUGGGUAUUUAGUACAGUGUACUGGAAUUUACUACUAAUUAAACUAAUUAACAUUUAAGACAGAAAUGCACAGA